rnacentral:rRNA from 1 species
CCUACGGGCGGCUGCAGUGGGGAAUAUUGGACAAUGGGGGCAACCCUGAUCCAGCCAUGCCGCGUGUGUGAAGAAGGCCCUCGGGUUGUAAAGCACUUUCAGUGAGGAAGAACGCCUGGUGGUUAAUACCCAUCAGGAAAGACAUCACUCACAGAAGAAGCACCGGCUAACUCCGUGCCAGCAGCCGCGGUAAUACGGAGGGUGCGAGCGUUAAUCGGAAUUACUGGGCGUAAAGCGCGCGUAGGUGGCUUGAUAAGCCGGUUGUGAAAGCCCCGGGCUCGACCUGGGAACGGCAUCCGGAACUGUCAAGCUAGAGUGCAGGAGAGGAAGGUAGAAUUCCCGGUGGAGCGGUGAAAUGCGUAGAGAUCGGGAGGAACACCAGUGGCGAAGGCGGCCUUCUGGACUGACACUGACACUGAGGUGCGAAAGCGUGGGUAGCAAACAGGAUUAGAUACCCCUGUAGUC